UUUAUUAACUUUUUCAAGGACUUUUGUAAGCUUCCAUAAUAAAAAAAAUAAACAUUUGUAAUGGACAACUUUAUGCAGAUAUUAGUGAAGGUCACUUACUAGGUACACGUACUGGGACGACUGUGGAUUCGAAAUUUUAAUUCAAAUCAGUUACAUGUGAUGAACAAAUUGUCAAAGCUGCCCAUUGAAUAAAGUAGCAAUCUCAAAUCGAAACUAGUUAUCAAGAUCUCUGAAUUGGGGCAAGGCUUCAUCUCCUGAAGACGCUAACUCAGUGAAAAACGUGUCAAAAGGAAUAUUGCCAAGAUACUUGGCUGAUAUGUGAUAUAGCCUGUGAGUUUACUAAAGGAUAUUAAAAUGAAAAGUAAUGAUAAGAGGAGGUGACUGAACAGAUUUUCAGCUUUUCAUGAAAUGAUUACCUACAUGUUUUCAUUUAUUAUUUGUUGAAUGUUGGUGUUGGAAAUUAUGAUUCUGGUUUGAUAUCCUAUUUUAAGGAGAUAUAUUAGAUUUGAAUUUUAUUACAUCACACAUUGAACGAAACAAACUGU